rnacentral:lncRNA from 1 species
UUGAUUAUUGUAGGCAUUUUAUUUACUGUACAAAAUAUUUACAUCUCCAACUGCAGACAUCCAGACGUGGUCUUCCAAUGUGCACCAGAGCUCAGCCUCUGCCAAGUUCUAGAACCAAGCUGACAGUCUCCUUGGUACUCAUGACUGGUCUCCUUCAAGGACACCGAAAAGCCAAGUCAGGAGGGCAGCUGCCCUCCCAAGUACCUCUGUCACAAAGCACAAACAAAAGAACUGGCCAAAAUAAGACAAAACUGACCAAGAAAUAACACAUGUUUUUAUCUGUCCAACAUACUGUAUCUCUUCCCCACAGUGGCUAGUACCAAAGCAGUAUUAGAAAAAAAAGGUAAAAGAAAAUGCAAAAGAGAGCAAAAUGCUUCUGAAUAGUCAGGCUGGAUUCUAGCAGCUCAGGAGGGCUUGUUUCCCGUGAUCCUGGGAACAGGAGGGCUCAGACUGCUUCCAGGAGGCCAAGGCACUGUCACAAGAACUGCCUUGUCUCGGGAUUCUGUGUACUUGCUGGUUUUGGCAAUAAAAUGGCUUGUAAUAUUCUGAGUGAGUGCCC